GAUUGCUUUCUUCAAGGGUAUGAAAAUAGAGUUAUUAUCGAUUUUUGAAAGGAGCAGCAUGGUACUGUCAUAAGUUUAGCAACUUUGAAACGACGGCUAAGAGGAUACGGCCUUCGAAGAAGGGGGUCAUCUGCUGACGAUCAACAGCUGAGGAACUUAAUUCAAAGUGUAAGUUCAGGACCCGGGGAACUUCAGGGAUAUAGAUCAGUAUGGCAUUCAUUGCGAAUAGAACAUCAUGUUCAUGUUUCAAGACAACGUGUUGCCAACAUUUUGAGAGAGUUGAAUUCGCAAGGAGUUCAACAAAGAAGACGACGGCGUCUGAAAAGACGAAGAUAUUCAAGUUGUGGUCCCAAUUUUUGCUGGCAUAUCGACGAGAAUGCUCUGGAUGUCCCAUUCUUGUAAGAACAGACUGUGGCACAGAAAAUGGCACUGUGGCUGCUAUCCAAUCAUAUUUUAGGCAGGAAGGCAAUGAUGAAUUUGCUGGUGAAAAAUCUCAUACAUAUGGAACAUCACCAGCAAAUCAAAGAAUCGAAUGUUGGUGGUCAUCUCUAAGACGAGCAAGAACAUCUUGGUGGAUAGAUCAUUUCAGUAACAUAGUAAACACUGGAUUAGUGGACACUAAGCUUAGCAAGGAAUGCUUGUGGUUUUGCUAUGAAAGGGUACUUCAAGAUGAAUUGGACAAAGUGAAACAUCAUCAGAACACUCAUCGAAUAUGCCCAUCAAGGCAUAGCACAGUGCCUGGCAUUCCUAAUGUACUUUACCACUUACCUCAUCGUUCUGAUGGUAUGGACUGCAAGGUGACAAUUCCAGCUGAAAAGUAUAUUUUUUACUUGCGUUGAGUCUUCUGGGCCACCGUAUCAGAGACAACUAAGAGCAAGAGAAUGUUAGAAAGAAUGCAUUACAAGUCGCCAAAAAGCUGGCCAGUCAUCUAUGGUCUAACAUGCAUAAAAUUGAAACCUGGGAGGAGUUGUGCCAAUUUGUCAUGAAACGACACCAAGGAUAUCUUUGCGCACCAGUUCCUGAACCAGUCCCUGACUUUCCAUGGCAGUUAACGUUAAGCUUGAUUGAAAAGAUGAAGGAUACCUUCUUUACUGAAAAACGAGGAUAAGUAUUAUCCAGUUUAACGUGGUCAUUGGUUUAAUUUAGGAAAUAUUGAAGGGACAAACUAUCUAAGCAGUCAAGAAGAGUGGAUAGAGUGAACUGAAAGAGAGAGGUAGCUUAUUCAUUUUUCUCGCUUUCUCAAAUAUUCAGAUGUACUGAACUUGAACAUAAUUUUUUUCAAGGGGUUUACCUAUUGGUCUGGGUCUGAGUCUGGGUCUGAGUCUGCGUCUGAGUCUGGGUCUGAGUCUGGUAUGCAUCUGAGCAGUACAAAUUUGCAUAUGGAUAAUUUUUAUGACUUUAUCCCCAGGUUCACUGAGUCGGGAACCUAUUUAUGCAACAAACAAGGAAGUGUGAAGGUGUAGUCUGAUCGUCCGGGUGAGUGUAGCCCUGAGAAGGACU